UGGUUGGUGUCCACUGUUGCUAACUUCAUUUAUAUGCUUCAUAAUGGGCAUGUUACAUAUAGUCUUAUAUGUAUCAGCUAUUACAUUGUAAAAGAGAACAAAAUAGACUUUUUCCAUCUGAAAACAUCAAGUAAGGGUAAGGAAAGAGUGAGGUAGGGUCGCUAUGAAAACUAAAGCUUUCUCAAGAUGGGUGGUCAUGGAGCACCCCGCCCAGGUCAGGAGGCCACGUCCACAUGGCACAGGCCCUGCAGGACCACACGGCAGGGUGUGCGUGGGAAAGCAACAGAGGACCUGGAGUGUUCUCGGAGCAGAGGCUCAGGCCUUAGAGAAUGAGUGCUGCUGGCUAUUCAGGCACAGGCCACCACCCUUUAUUUUUUUCAAUCUUCUGCCAACAUUUAACUUCCUUGCUUCCUCCAUGAAGCCAGCCUUGUCCCGGAGUGAGACAGGCUUCCUUUGCCACGCUGCAGGUCCUCUGUAACACAGCCUCUCCCCUGGGCUCAGCGGGCUUGAGGCUCACUGAGAGUCAGGAAGGCACGUCUGCUGCACAAUACCGCAAAUGCAAUCCAGAGUCAACAGGAAGGAUUUCAUAUUAGCUGCUGCCGGGAUAGCUACUUCUGUUCAUUAGUGUAGAUAAUUGAUAUGUGAGUGGAACCGUAUCAUUUCGAGAUCUUAAAAAGUUCCAUUUAAAAUCCUCACCUCCCACCACUACCAGCCCCCUUUUUGAAGAUAAACUGAAAUUGUAUUGGACUGCCCUUCCUCCCUCAUGGGUGGAGGAUGGAUUCAUGUGUCUCCCAACCAGCUAUACCAGCCUCAGCCUGCUGGCUCUACCUUCCUCCCCGAUGAUAGCCUCCUGCAUCUCAUUUCCCUAGACCCUGGCCUAUGGGGACAUGAACCAUGAGUGGAUUGGGAAUGAAUGGCUACCCAGCCUGGGGCUCCCGCAGUACCGCAGCUACUUCAUGGAGUGCCUGGUGGACGCCCGCAUGCUGGACCACCUCACCAAGAAGGACCUGCGGGUCCACCUGAAGAUGGUGGACAGCUUCCAUCGAACCAGUCUUCAGUAUGGCAUCAUGUGUCUGAAGAGGCUGAAUUAUGACCGGAAGGAGCUGGAGAAGAGGCGAGAGGAGAGCCAGCACGAGAUCAAGGAUGUGUUAGUCUGGACCAACGACCAGGUGGUUCAUUGGGUCCAGUCUAUUGGGCUCCGGGACUACGCAGGAAACCUGCAUGAGAGUGGUGUGCAUGGAGCCUUGCUGGCCCUGGACGAGAACUUCGACCACAACACACUGGCCCUGAUCCUCCAGAUCCCCACACAGAACACCCAGGCACGCCAAGUGAUGGAAAGAGAGUUCAAUAACCUGUUGGCCUUGGGCACAGACCGGAAGCUGGAUGACGGGGAUGACAAGGUGUUUCGCCGCGCGCCCUCCUGGAGGAAGCGCUUCCGGCCGCGGGAGCACCACGGUCGCGGCGGCAUGCUCAGCGCUUCCGCGGAGACCCUCCCGGCGGGCUUCCGUGUGUCCACCCUGGGGACCCUGCAGCCCCCACCGGCCCCGCCAAAGAAGAUCAUGCCUGAAGGUGAGUAACAGGCGGGCUGGGCAUGGCCGAGGCCCAGCCGAGCGCGGGCUUCUUCCUGGCACCCCAGGGCCGGGCCGGGUGGAGAGGGGCGAGGCCGAGCCUGGUGCCCCGCGCUCCUGCGCUGCAGCUGCACUAACGCUCCGCGGGGAGCGUGUGCGCGCACUAACCCGCCGCUCUGUGUGUUCUCCCGCGGCUGCCGACUUCUCCCAGCCGGGACGGCGGGGUCGCAGAGACUGGAGACCUCCACGGUUCGGACCUACUCCUGCUGACCCCCCAUCCUCCCGCCCCGGGUCUGACGGGGGUGUGCCCGUGGCUCGGGGUAAGUGGGCCAGGCCCGGGGACGCGGGCACCUUGCUGCUGGCCCUCGGCCCCACGCACCUGCCCUUGGCUGCCGGCCUGGCCCUGCCGCUCCAGUCCCGCUUACCAGCACUGCCUGGCUUGCCCCUUCCUGCUUCGUCUGGCCUGGGGCGCUUUGCGCUUGGAGCACGCUGCGUUGCCGCUGUCGCACACAUCCUACAACCUGUCUCGCAGAUGCCCUGCAACCUGCCUCACAGUGCGAUGCCUGUCUCUCUCUCUCCCUCAGCUCACUCCCACUAUCUCUACGGACACAUGCUCUCCGCCUUCCGGGACUAGCCAUGGCCCCCAGGGCUGGCUUCCUCCUUCUGGGUUUCACAGGCUCCUCUGGCCCUGACCCCUCCUGCUCGUUCCCCUUCCUUCCGCAGCUCCUAGUCUCGUCCGUGACUUUCCGGUUGCCCUGGAUCUCAGAAUAUAUUCGUCCACCCCCUCGGCACCCCAUUACCCCGAGUCCCACCGUGUGUCCGUUGUAAGUCCGGUGGAUGUGGCUGGGGUUUCCUGGUAUUGUGGAGGCACCCAGGUUGUCCAUGCUUGGGAUUCUGGGGGAAGGAGAGAAGGGCAGCCCAGGGUGGAUGUGAAGCCACCCUUCCUCUUCUGGACCCAGCCUGGUCUGCACUGCAACCUCCACCAGGACCAGGAUCCUGGGCCACAGGCUGGGAUGAUCCUUCCAAGAAAGGGUCAUUUCAGACGGAGCCCUGCUUGGGCUAUUCAACCUUAGGGUGUCUAUCCAUGUCUGGCUGUGCCAAAUGGUCUGGCAGCUGGUUUUGGCAUCCCCAGCAUCACCACUCUCCCAACCCGUCACCGUGACUGCAGUUCCUGCCCCCAUUCUCUUGGGGUCAGGGAGGGGCUGGGAAGGGCUACUGAAGGCCCCAUUCUCCCACAGGAUGGUGAGGCUGGGAGGAGGAAGACUGAGGUAGAGAUUCCAGGCCCUAGCAUAAGCUGAAUCCCAAAUUUGGGUUUGGGAAGAACCAGAGAGAAAUGGAUCCCUGAGCUCUGAGCCAAGGGUGAGGAUGGGGAAACUCUAAGCUCCCGCCUAAUAAGAAGCAUAGGCAGACCAGCCAGAGGGAGAGCCAAUGGCCUCUGGUAGCCUUAAGCCCAAAGGGCAGUGGGAAUGUCCCCUGCCCCAACCAUCGGGUGGAGCUCCUGCUGGGCUGUGGGGAAGGGAGGUUGUGCGGAUCUUGACUCUAGGGCAGAACAGAUCUAACCAUGCAUUGCUAGCUCUGCUCCCAGCAUCCCUUCCCCUUCUCUCCUCCUCUGCCUCACUUCUUUAGUAAUCCCAACCCUAUAAAAAUGAACCUAAUGGGUGGAUUGAAUAUACAUUGACCCUAAAGUCAAGUUUGGGGAAAAGGCAGACUAAGGCCUCCUUUCUCUGACCUCCCAGGAAGAAAAUAGCUUCUCCUACAGUGAUUCAUGUCCCAGGUCCAGGAAAUCCAAUGUUGGUGAAGGCAGCCACUCUCUUGCUUGUCCCCAAAUCACCUAACCCUCAUCCAGGGCUAUUUUGGUGGGCAGGGACUGCCUCCUCCCGGAAUUCCUAAGAUCUGCCCAGCUGCCACCAUUUUCAUUGCUUUCCCCAGCAGCAUGAUGGGAACCCAAGCUGAGGGAUACAGGUCCUGAUUUGGUAGGAAUAUUAUUCCCAAGAAAUACCCGCUCCUCACCUACUCCCUCAUCCUACCAAGGUGCCUGAAAAUGUUCAAGACUUAUGUUCAGGGUGGGAUGAUGGAACCGAGGGCUUCAUCAAAGUGAGAGGAAAGGAAAAGCAUCUGGCAUGUGUUUCUUGGAUAGGGGCCAGUGCAGUGCCAUCCUAUAGGUGGCUGGAGCAGCUGCUUUGCAACCUGAUCACCUUGAGUUCUGAGCAGGGACUAGGCUUGCAGGUGAGAUAAUGGGCCAGGGCACCCAGUCCAGAAGGAGCAAUGGCACCUGGGCAGUGCCAGGGCUUAGAGCCUGCUGCUCCUUUUCGGUAGAGGAGAGGCCCAUCACUGGUGUGGUGGGGUGGGCUCUCCCCUAGGCUUGGGCAAGGCAGCCACCUGCCCUUGCUCUCCCUUAGUGUUCCCUGGCCUCCCUGCCAUCAGGUUGCCGGGAGUGGAGAUGGAGGGAUUAUUGAGCAGAAAAUGAGUUGGAUGGAGAUAAACAGCUCCCAUCCCUGGGUAAUGGAUGUUAAGAUGAUGGAGAUUCCUAAGAUUGGUGGAGUUGGGCAAUGCAUAGCCAUCUGACUCCUUCAGGGUGCUCUUGAUGGGCUGGCUGUAAGGGAGACUCAGUCCCAGCCUCUCCCCUCUACAACUCCUGCCACUGUUGGCCAUGUCGUGAGGCAGCAGCUGUGCCAGGAUAGCUGGGUCCAUUCAGAGCACCUUGAGAAGUGUUGCAGGGAGGUGUUAAGAAGAGAAAUCUGUGCAAACAGUGAUGGAAGGCUGUUGUCUUGGUGUAUCCCUUGCCUCAUAGUCAAUAUAUUUUUUUUUUGGUGAGUCACCAGUGACCCGAGCCCUCCACACCAGCCUCCUGUAUCUCAUCAGGUCCCUUCUCAGUACUGUAUUUGCUCAGUGCAUCAGGAAUGGGUGUAUGGGUGUGUGUGGGUGGGUGUGAGUGUGGGUGUGUACGUACCAAUAAACAACCUGGUUUUAAGACAAUGU
rnacentral:sRNA from 1 species